ACCCAUGAGAGCGAAUGAGAUAAAGAAGGACACAACUAGAAUCCAAAACCAUUUUCUUAAGAAAAGAAUUAGAAGGCAGUCUUGCUUCUGUUCAGAAUUGAGAUAUACAUGCACCGCUGAUGGAGGCUACCACUUUCUUCCUAUUUAUUCAAUUUUCACACCUUGGAGCUUUAGUUCUUAGCAAGGUCAUUAUGAAAGCCGGACGGAAA
rnacentral:sRNA from 2 species